rnacentral:rRNA from 1 species
GAUGAACGCUGGCGGCGUGCCUAAUACAUGCAAGUCGAGCGAACAGACGAGGAGCUUGCUCCUUCGACGUUAGCGGCGGACGGGUGAGUAACACGUAGGUAACCUACCUAUAAGACUGGGAUAACUUCGGGAAACCGGAGCUAAUACCGGAUAAUAUUUCGAACCGCAUGGUUCGAUAGUGAAAGAUGGCUUUGCUAUCACUUAUAGAUAGACCUGCGCCGUAUUAGCUAGUUGGUAAGGUAACGGCUUACCAAGGCAACGAUACGUAGCCGACCUGAGAGGGUGAUCGGCCACACUGGAACUGAGACACGGUCCAGACUCCUACGGGAGGCAGCAGUAGGGAAUCUUCCGCAAUGGGCGAAAGCCUGACGGAGCAACGCCGCGUGAGUGAUGAAGGUCUUCGGAUCGUAAAACUCUGUUAUUAGGGAAGAACAAACGUGUAAGUAACUGUGCACGUCUUGACGGUACCUAAUCAGAAAGCCACGGCUAACUACGUG